GAUGAACGCUGGCGGCGUGCCUAAUACAUGCAAGUCGAGCGAACGGACGAGAAGCUUGCUUCUCUGAUGUUAGCGGCGGACGGGUGAGUAACACGUGGAUAACCAACCUAUAAGACUGGGAUAACUUCGGGAAACCGGAGCUAAUACCGGAUAAUAUUUUGAACCGCAUGGUUCAAAAGUGAAAGACGGUCUUGCUGUCACUUAUAGAUGGAUCCGCGCUGCAUUAGCUAGUUGGUAAGGUAACGGCUUACCAAGGCAACGAUGCAUAGCCGACCUGAGAGGGUGAUCGGCCACACUGGAACUGAGACACGGUCCAGACUCCUGCGGGAGGCAGCAGUAGGGAAUCUUCCGCAAUGGGCGAAAGCCUGACGGAGCAACGCCGCGUGAGUGAUGAAGGUCUUCGGAUCGUAAAACUCUGUUAUUAGGGAAGAACAUAUGUGUAAGUAACUGUGCACAUCUUGACGGUACCUAAUCAGAAAGCCACGGCUAACUACGUG
rnacentral:rRNA from 1 species